UUCCAAGGAAGGCAGCAGGCACGCAAAUUACCCACUCCCAGCACGGGGAGGUAGUGACGAAAAAUAACAAUACGGGACUCUGAAUGAGGCCCCGUAAUUGGAAUGAGAACAAUCUAAAUCCUUUAACGAGGAUCUAUUGGAGGGCAAGUCUGGUGCCAGCAGCCGCGGUAAUUCCAGCUCCAAUAGCGUAUAUUAAAGUUGUUGCGGUUAAAAAGCUCGUAGUUGGAUCUCAGUUCAAGCUAGAGGGUCCACCGACAGGUGGCUACUCUCUAGCUGAACAUUUUACCGAGCCGUCUCUUGAUGCUCUUUACCGGGUGUCAUGAGCGAUCGGUACGUUUACUUUGAAAAAAUUAGAGUGCUCAAAGCAGGCGUUACGCCCGAAUAAUCUUGCAUGGAAUAAUAGAAUAGGACCUCGGUUCUAUUUUGUUGGUCUUUUGAACCUGAGGUAAUGAUUAAGAGGGACAGACGGGGGCAUUCGUAUUGCGGCGCUCGAGGUGAAAUUCUUGGACCGGCCCAAGACGGGCUACCGCG
rnacentral:rRNA from 1 species